CAGUAGCCACGGUAAUACGGAGGGGGCUAGCGUUGUUCGGAAUUACUGGGCGUAAAGCGCACGUAGGCGGUUUUGUAAGUCAGAGGUGAAAGCCCGGAGCUCAACUCCGGAACUGCCUUUGAGACUGCAUCACUUGAACGUCGGAGAGGUGAGUGGAAUUCCGAGUGUAGAGGUGAAAUUCGUAGAUAUUCGGAAGAACACCAGUGGCGAAGGCGGCUCACUGGACGACUGUUGACGCUGAGGUGCGAAAGCGUGGGGAGCAAACAGGAUUAGAUACCCCAGUAGUCCCUGUCUCUUAUAC
rnacentral:rRNA from 1 species